GACGAACGCUGGCGGCGUGCUUAACACAUGCAAGUCGAGCGGUAAGGCCCUUUCGGGGGUACGACGAGCGGCGAACGGGUGAGUAACACGUGGGUGACCUGCCCUCCAGCUCUGGGAGUAAGCCUGGGAAACCGGGGUACCUAAUACCGGAUAUGACUCCACGGCGCAUGUUGUGGGGUGGAAAGCCUUGUGUGGCUAGAGAUGGGCCCGCGGCCUAUCAGCUUGUUGGUGGGGUGAGGCCUACCAAGGCGACGACGGGUAGCCGG
rnacentral:rRNA from 1 species